GCCCUGCCGGGCGCGCAGGUGCGGGCGGCGCUCCCUGGCGGGGUGGAGGGCAGGAGGCCGGCGCGGGGCUCGCCUGCGCUCGCACAGCUGCACUUUGCGCCGACGUGCCGCGCGGGUCCGCCCGGGGCGAGCGCGGGCAGGCGGGGCAGCGUCCCCGCACCGCAGGGGCCUCGCCGGGCUGCCGGCUCCCUUCUCGGCGAUUCCGUCCGGGCGGCCGGAUGGGAGGAGCGGGCAGGUGCAGAAACAGACACUGAGUGCCAGCGGUGUGUGCUGGUGGGGAUGUCCCCAAGGCAGGCGUGAAUCCAGAUUCUUUAAUGAUGAGAGCGCCCUGGAAAAGAAGAAGAUGCGCUGAGGACGUCAGAACAGGAAGGUACAUCUUUAACUGAACACCAGUGAUGAAGGACUCAGCGAGCUCUCUGUUUCGCCAGCCCUUAAGUCAACAGUCUCCUCAUUCUUCGGCACGCGGUCUCCUGAGUGAUAACUGCUGCUCUUCCCACAGGGCGACGGUGAAGGAGACCAACAAGUAAGGUGCAGGAAAGGGCCAGGAGCGUCUCUGGCAGACUGCCUCUCCUGAGCGUGCCUCCCACCCUGCUCGCCGGGUUCACUCAGCUUAGACGGUGCUUCUCCUGGGGACCUUCCCUGGCCUCCCACGUCUAAGCUCUGUGGAACAGUGAGAGCCACGCCAAUGACGAUCUUCCCACGAAGCUAAGAAGCUCGCUGUCUCUAGCACAGGCCUCUCCCCAGCACGCUGUUGAGCAGAUUUUCCAUCUGAAGGGGAAUGUUCCACUCAGCUCAUGCCCAAACGCUAAGCCGUUCUGAGGUCCUCCCAGCGCCCCACGUGCUUCUGUACCUUCCUCCUGCCUGUGACACCCUUGCCACCUUCACCUGGCACGUCUGUUCACCUGCUAAACCCAGUUUAGAUGGCGCCUCUUCUGGGAAGCCCUCCCUUCUCUACAUUGACCCAGAGCCUCAUAAGUCCUUCCACAGUUGCCCUGAUCACGCUGUAGAAUUACUGGUUCACAGGUCUGUCUCCCCACUGGACUGAGUACUUUGAUUUUUAUUUUUUAACAGAUGGGUUUGUGUCUUAUUGUAUCUCCAUUGCUUGGUGAGAGUGAGUACUCACCAGACAAGGUGAGGUGGACUCUUGUUUCCCAAAGGGGCCCGCAUGCGGCUGGCCGGUGGAAUGCUCUCAGAGGUGAAGUCUGCAGCGUUACCUCCAUUUUGUCUCCCACGACACUGAGAGCCGUGGGUCCCGGCCCUCGGCUGCGCCCGCGGCGCGCGCCGUGGCUGGUGGAAAACAAGUGGCGUCAGCGGCAGAGGCGCACGCGCCCCCUGGGGCCCUGGGCGGUGCUGGCGGAGACGGCAGGCUGUCGGCUCGCUCAUCACCUGACUCAUGAAAAGAUCGCUGAUAACCAAUUUAAACAAUGCCUCUGCCGCUCGGGAGACAUCGAUUUCCACGACGAUGAUUGACGAGGAAGGAGGUGGGUGGUGAAAGUUGCACAGAAAGCGGUGAAGAGACUUGCCCAAAACCAGCUGGGAGGGGCAGGCCUGGGAACGCUGCCCAGUGCUUCCAGCUCCCGAAGCUGGUUCUUUUCGACAUCAGCCCCCCGAAAGGCCCACGGGCUUCUUAGCAUUCUAGGCAUUUGGGAGCGACGAUGCAUUGAACUGAGCCUUACUUACACUUCAGCUCCUCCCUGCAACCUUUCCUGAUACCUCUCCUCCAAGCUCUCCCAGGGUUCCAUCUAUAAGCAGAGAACCAGCGCUCAACUACAGCGUGCUCCCCAGCUGCCUCCUGGACCUCGGUUCUCCAACCAGAUCCAUGGAGACAGGGUUAUAUGUUGUUCCGUUACUUCCUAUGGUGCCCAGGACCACGCGUGGUUCUCAGAGACACUGAGUACGCAUCUGCUGAUGUGUGGGCCGUUUGUGUGUCUGUACGUGUGCCGGCACCGCCACCUCACCAGGAGCAUGUUCACGGGCCAGGCCGCCUCUCUCCCAAAACCCUUCCAUCUCGGGGGCAGGGACCUGCCCCCUCUGCCGAGGGAAUUAGCAGAUUUGCCCAGGAACUUUUUUCUGGGAAUGUAAUCAUUGCUGCCUUGACGGCUUUCUUCUAAUCUCCCCAUUACUAUGCAUUUGUAAUCUGUUUAUUUUUCUCAUUCCUAGAAGGCAAUAUAGCAAGAACUAAAGUUUUCAGGAAAAAAUAUUGGCCAAAAACACAAAAUUGAGAAAAUGCCUCAAAAUCUGUUAUCAAAAAAUACCUUUUUUUUCCCCUGAAAACUAGGCAGUGGAGGGACCUUAGUUUUUUGGCAAUUGUGAAAAAAAGCCAUAUUCCAGCCCUUGAGACACCGGGGAACAUGGCUUGUGACCAGAUGGCUUAGCAGAUCAGAAGUCAUCCAGGUGGGCCCGCACCGCCCGGUCCUCGUGAGGGGAGGGCGGGCCUGUAGGGCUCCGCGAGGAGGUGUAGAGGCCUGGGUGCCAGCCCACGGUGCACUUGGUCUCUGAAGAAUGAGAGCAAGGCUUCUUCCCAGCCUCCUCCCAACCCUCCUCUUUGCUCUGGGCUUUGAUCUUAUCCCCUGGGGUUUACAAAACUGGAGGUGAAACUCAAGUACUUUGAAAAAUUUGGAUUUAACUGUACUUUUCAAAAAAAGAGGGGUGGUAAACCAUUAUGAACUAGAGUUCCUCAAAACGUAGAGAUGCUUGUUGUUAUUUUUUUAGAGCUGUUUACAAAGUUCAUUAAAAAAGCAAAUGUGGAACAAUUAAUCAACGAGGCACGUGAACAGUAUUAGGGAAACCAGUCAUUGUACCACGUGCGUCAGAGGAACCUGGGGGCUGGUUAACACGUCCUGUCCUGGGACAGGGAACCAGAAUCCUGGGAGAGGCCUGGAGUUCUGCCUUUGUACCUGCUGCCCAGGUUACUCUGAUGCCCCCUAGUUUGAGAAUCACUGCAUUAGGGGACACACAGCUGUGCCCGGUAUGUCCCACAAACAAAGAGUACUGACUUCUAUUCUUAGCUGUGUGUGGGACAUGGAAGGAAGUUCUUUGAAAGGGCAAGCAGGUGGGGUUAAAACCAGCCACUGAGGAGCCUGGGGGCUCUUUUUCUUUUAUUUCUGAUUCGACUGUGGAAAAGAACAUCCCUCCGGCCAGGAGGAAUGGCUGAUCCUUUUGUUCAGACAGCUUCUCUCUCAGCAUCUUAAAAGGCCCUCCAGUCUCUGGAGCUCAAACCACCAGAGGGUCCUCCCUGCCUUCCCACCAGCUCUGCUGUAAGAAUUCUUCUCGUCACACUGGGCCUCUGGGAAGACUUCCUCUCUUUCUUACCAUUU